UACGAAGGGGGCUAGCGUUGCUCGGAAUUACUGGGCGUAAAGCGCACGUAGGCGGUUCGCCAAGUUUGGAGUGACAGUUGUCGGCUCAACCGAUAAAGGACUUCAAAAACUGGUGAGCUUGAGAGCGAGAGAGGAACAUGGAACUCCAGGUGUAGUAGUGAAAUGCGUAGAUAUCUGGAAGAACACCAAAGGCGAAGGCAAUGUUCUGGCUCGUUUCUGACGCUCAGGUGCGAAAGCCAGGGGAGCGAACGGG
rnacentral:rRNA from 1 species